AGGUGGCUCAGACGGAUGUGGUGAGAGCUUGGGGUUCGGUUAGCCCUCCCUGGGCAGGGUUUAGGGCCUUUGCCGUCUCAUUUGGUGCCUUGUGACAAUGAGCAAGGACUAGUCCUUCCUUCAGGUAGAUGGAGCCCCUCUUCUUCUAUGACACAGCCCUCCUCCCCCAGUGACACCCUCUGUUGGCUCUGGGGAGGCAGGCCAACCCCUUCUCCUUCCUGACUCUCACCAGUCCUCUCCUGCUGGCGUCUGCCCCCUUGCUAGCUCUGCUCCACACUCGCCUCCUCCAGGAAGCCUCUCGGGAUUGGUAGCCCUUUCACCCUGACACUUUGUUCCCUCAUCUUCCCCCUAGCUCCUCCCCUAGGAGUCUCAGUUACAAAGAGCUGUGCCCU